rnacentral:sRNA from 1 species
GGGGGUGUACCGGUUUCGACGGGGGUACAGAAGCAGGAAUAGCGAGCGAGUGCGCCCAGCACUCUCAAAAUGGGCACUUUAUAAAUUAAAGAACAACAACAAUCCUGUUCUCGCCGCUGCUUAAUGCGGCCGUCCUGCCCGGAAGGACCACGAGCCGGGUCUGGGCGUGAUCUAGUGGUGCCCGUGAGUACGGUAAGAGUUGCCCGUGCCACGCAUCAUGACUCUACCAAGCGCAGUGAGUGUGACGGCUCACGCCUGCGUAAGGGAAUGUAAAUAACCGUCUGCGCUCGGAGAAGUUCCUGUGGAAGGACUUUCGGACAGGGGUUCAACUCCCCUCACCUCCACCA